rnacentral:rRNA from 1 species
GAGUUUGAUCUUGGCUCAGAUUGAACGCUGGCGGCAGGCCUAACACAUGCAAGUCGAGCGGUUGAAGGUAGCUUGCUACCUGAUGCAGCGGCGAACGGGUGAGUAAUGCAUGGGAAUCUGCCUGGUAGUGGGGGACAACGUCUCGAAAGGGACGCUAAUACCGCAUACGCCCUACGGGGGAAAGGGGGGGAUCUUCGGACCUCUCGCUAUCAGAUGAGCCCAUGUCAGAUUAGCUAGUUGGUGGGGUAAAGGCCUACCAAGGCGACGAUCUGUAACUGGUCUGAGAGGAUGAUCAGUCACACUGGAACUGAGACACGGUCCAGACUCCUACGGGAGGCAGCAGUGGGGAAUAUUGGACAAUGGGCGAAAGCCUGAUCCAGCCAUGCCGCGUGUGUGAAGAAGGCCCUAGGGUUGUAAAGCACUUUCAGUGGGGAGAAAGGUCAUUCACCUAAUACGUGAGUGAAUUGAUGUUACCCACAGAAGAAG